GGAGGCGUGCCCGAGUCAGGGGCUACACUGAUGAAGUAGAUACGGAGACACACUCCCGCCCCCA
rnacentral:tRNA from 1 species